CGGAAGCAGUCCACCGCUCCUGAGAAAUGGACAUCCACUCCUCCACAGUGGACAAGAUAAGGACUUUGAGCCUGGCAGGAAACAGAAGAAUUCCUUCCCCAGUGGUCUGCAUUGUGGUUCUCAAAGGGUCAAAUAUGUGCCUUUCCAUGGUGAUGGAGAAGGAGCAACACAGACAGGGCUAAAGAACAUUUGUUCUGCAAGAAACUCAUGGGGUAGGCUGCCGGGGUGGAAACGAGUGCCGAUCCCGGAGGCAAACCGCCUGGCCUUUAUCCCAGUUCAGUUACUCGAAGAUGGGUUUGUAAGCUACGGAACCUUGGAGUGCCUCCGUUUUUCUCAUCUCGACCAGCAAGAUGGCUCAGCAGGUAAAAGUGCUUGCUGCCAAGACUGAUGACUUGAGUUUAAGCUCCAGAGCCUGCGCGGUGCACAGAGAGCACUGACUCCCUCGAGCUGUCUGAGUGCACCGGGGCCCGCAAUAAAACAGGCUUCGUAGGAACAGUGCUCAUUUGGCACUUGGUGAAUUGUUGUAAGGAUUGGAUGACGUAAUGAACAUACAGUUGGCCCAGUGCCUACUGUAUCUCCCUGCUCAGUGCUGAUGAUCACUUUCAGAAUCAUUCCUAGGGAACAGUAUGUGCUACAGUAUGAGCUGAUAAGGUCCUUGAUUGGAGUCAGGGCAGGAAGAAAAGGGGCCCUUAUGGGAGAGUUAAGAGUGCAGAAGCGACCCGGCUUUGGAUUGGUUGGGUGAGGGGACGGCAGAGCUGAACCUAACUUCUGGCUGCUUAGCUUGGCUGUGUGGGACAGUGAUGGCCCUGAAAGGGAAAACUCGAAGAAGACAGUUUUAGGGGAAGAAUAGUAACUUGGAUACACAGUGGGUUGGAAGUGACCAUGGAGAUGUGACAGCCAAUGGCACUGAUCAGCAGGCUGUGAGAAACAUGGGCCCAGGACUGAGGGAGGGAGACUGGGCUGGAAGACGCAGCAUGGAACACAAGAAGCUCUGAGUGGAGGUAUGAAGUGACUGUGUCCUGCUCAGCAAAGGUUGCUCAAGGUGGUGAGCAUCUGGGUCAGACUGGAGUCUGUUUGAGCAGGCUGGGGCCUCUGUUUAUUCACUGACCGUGUGCGUUCUGCUCUGUCAGCUCGGCCACUUGGAUCCCACCUUUGUCCUCCACUUUAUGCACGUUCAGUUCAAAUGCUGACCUGGCCCAGUCCUGCUUGCCUUGUGAGCUGUGGUGGCGGCGGCAAAGUCCACCGGGGUACAAACCAACAGGCUGAUACGUGGCUUUGUAUUUGAUGAAAUGGAGAUACCCAAUACGAGCAACAGAGUAGGGAGCAGGCAGAGUGGAGAGGGUGCCCAUGGACCCCCUUCCUGAUUCAUUCAGAAGGCCUAUCAGACUCCAGGCUUCAUGUGGGCAGUGGCUCCCCAGAUUCCCAGGACAGUGUUCCCCAGCCUGUCUUACCCUCUCACAUACUCCUGCCUAUGGAACCAUUAUAUGUUUUUUUUUUUUUUUAGGAUUCUUUGGUCCUUAAUAGGGGCUUACAGAUUACUCC